CAAGAUUACCCGCUGAACUUAAGCAUAUCAGUAAGCGGAGGAAAAGAAAAUAACAAUGAUUACCUCAGUAGCGGCGAGUGAAGAGGUAUAAGCCCAAGAUGUUAAUCUGUGUUUAAGACAUAGAAUUGUAAUCUAUGGAAUAGCUCAGAAAGUGGAAGCCCGCCAUAAGUUCCUUGGAAUAGGACGCCAGAGAGGGUGAAAGCCCCGUCUUCGGGUGGGAAGAAGCAAUAUGAGAUGUUUCCAAGAGUCGGGUAGUUUGGGAAUGCUGCCCUAAUUGGGAGAUAAACUUCUCCUAAGGCUAAAUAUUUAUAGGAGACCGAUAGC
rnacentral:rRNA from 1 species